AGAGUUUGAUCCUGGCUCAGGAUGAACGCUGGCGGCGUGCCUAAUACAUGCAAGUCGAACGCUUCACUUCGGUGAAGAGUGGCGAACGGGUGAGUAAUACAUAAGUAACCUGGCAUCUACAGGGGGAUAACUGAUGGAAACGUCAGCUAAGACCGCAUAGGUGUAGAGAUCGCAUGAACUCUAUAUGAAAAGUGCUACGGGACUGGUAGAUGAUGGACUUAUGGCGCAUUAGCUGGUUGGUAGGGUAACGGCCUACCAAGGCGACGAUGCGUAGCCGACCUGAGAGGGUGACCGGCCACACUGGGACUGAGACACGGCCCAGACUCCUACGGGAGGCAGCAGUAGGGAAUUUUCGGCAAUGGGGGAAACCCUGACCGAGCAACGCCGCGUGAAGGAAGAAGUAAUUCGUUAUGUAAACUUCUGUCAUAGAGGAAGAACGGUGGAUAUAGGGAAUGAUAUCCAAGUGACGGUACUCUAUAAGAAAGCCACGGCUAACUACGUGCCAGCAGCCGCGGUAAUACGUAGGUGGCGAGCGUUAUCCGGAAUUAUUGGGCGUAAAGAGGGAGCAGGCGGCACUAAGGGUCUGUGGUGAAAGAUCGAAGCUUAACUUCGGUAAGCCAUGGAAACCGUAGAGCUAGAGUGUGUGAGAGGAUCGUGGAAUUCCAUGUGUAGCGGUGAAAUGCGUAGAUAUAUGGAGGAACACCAGUGGCGAAGGCGACGAUCUGGCGCAUAACUGACGCUCAGUCCCGAAAGCGUGGGGAGCAAAUAGGAUUAGAUACCCUAGUAGUCCACGCCGUAAACGAUGAGUACUAAGUGUUG
rnacentral:rRNA from 1 species